UUCGCUUAGCAGCAGUGAAAUAAACACCUCAUGAGGUGAAGGCAUUCACCUCUCUGUCCAUCCCAGCCACCGGGGAUUAGAGCAGCAACGUUGCCAGGGACUUACCUUUCCAUCCUGGCUGUGUCCAGAGUAACACUGGCCUCCCACCGCUUCUGAGAAGAGAAGGCCCAGAAGUUCAGAAAAAGGCAAGAAAGGGUUAAUGCAAAUGAGGGAGAAAAAAGAACAGGCCGAUAAGAGUACACAUCGGUGGGAAGAGACGUUUAUAGUGUGCCGUUGCCCGGUGCAACAGUUCACAAAAAGAAGUUGUGGAUUCUCCCUGAUUGGAGGUUUCUUUUAAAAACAGGUGUCAUGUUGCCUCCCUCUUACCCUGUGAAUCCAUCAACUGGAAACGCUGUUGAAGAAAAACCACACGUUCACACCAACAAGCAAGUGGAGAGGCCAUCAUUGAGAAUCACGUGCAGGUGAUGAAGCCCAGAAGGCAGAAGCUGCUCUGCUGAGAGACCCAGCAGGAGCAGAACCACUUCAAGGCCCAGAGGACAUCAUGGUGAGGAGAGACUUCCUCCGAGCUUCUUCGAGAACUAACGGUGCCCAGCACCUCAGGAGCUGCAGCAUCAUGAGCACAGCGGUGGUGCCACAUUCAUCAGUCACGGCAGCAAGAGGUCUUCUGACGACUGUGAUGCUGAGAAUUAGGAAAAGAUCAGAAGGGAAUGUACACAAGCCUCCAGCACAUCUUCGCCACCUCCUGAAGCUGCACAUGUGUACUUUUUCCUGUGUAUGACCUUCCUGUGCAUCCAACAAGGAGGCCUCCCUCGGCUCUGCACUAGGAUCCCAUCUGCUUGCACCCACACAAGGACAUUGUUCCAGGAAUUCUCUCCUUUCUUUUCCCUGGUGGUCCACCCUCAAGACAGCCCUGGAUGAUCCUCAGUGCUUGGUACCUGCACUGCGAUGCAGUCCCCUCUCACACUGAGUCAGGGAUGGACUGUAUAACCAGCAGAAUUCUGCAGAAGCCCCAGUGUGUGACUUCAGAUGCCAGGUCAUAGAAGACAAUGGCACCUCUGCCUUCUCGGAGUUCUCACUGUGGCGAAGCCACACCAUGACAUGGGGAUACUCAUGCAGUCCUCUGAUGAGGCCUGUGAAAGGAAACUGAGGUCUCCCCCCAAGCAGUGAGGGCCAACGUGCCUGGCCCAUAAGCAAACCUCCUCAGAGGUGGCACCUGCAGCCCAUCCACAUCUUCAGAUGCCUGGAACCAUGGCCAGCAUCUCCAUGCAGUUUUGGGGGAGACUCUGAGUGAGAACCCCACCCAAGAUGCUCCCAAAUUCCUGACCCACAGAAACUGUGAGAGAGGACAGAUGUCCAGUGUCCCCCAAGGCACUGCAUUUGGGAUAAUUUGUUACACAGCAAUAGAUAACUAAUACAUCUCCUGUGAUCACAGGACUUGAGCUGCUCCCCAUCUUUCCCAGAGGAAAAUCCAGAGUCCCCUGUAGGCCUUACAAGGCCCCUCCCAUCCUGUUCACCCCAUUCUCACCACCCCAGGUCCACCCACGGUGACCUCCUUCUCUUCCUCAGAGCCCUGAGAUGGGCCUCAGGGCUUCUGUCCUCACUGUUCCCUCUCCCCUCCCCCCCCCCAGCCACCCCUCAAUGUCUCCCUCUCUGGGAGACCUUCCCUGAUGACCCUUCCAGAAACACAGCUCCCCACAUACAACCACACCCACAUCCACACACACUUGUCUUUCCCCCUCCUUUAUUUUUUCCUUAAUACAUCUUACUAUUUAAUAGACCACAUGUACUGUUUAUGAUCUGGCUGCCCUCAUAUCUGAGAGCUGAGCUGGUAUAGGGAUUGUUGUCUGUCCCCAGUGUCUAUAACACUGCCCAGUUUACUGUACAUCUGCCAUAAAGAUGUCUUGGAUGAAUGCAUGAAUGUUGAGGAUGCAAGGAUGCAAAAUUAAUAGUACCUUAAAAAUGCCUGACAUAGGCCUUUGUGAUCUGACUGCACUUUAUAAACCUGCCUCUAAAAUUUACCACUAGUUUAUACAGCAAAUAUACAGGUCCUUAGAAUCUGCACCUUUUGUUUCAUCUUGAUUUUCUUCUAAGUUCUCUGUGUUUUAACUUUUAUCCCUAUUAUUAUGUCCUCAUUCUACACUGCUUCAAAGACUUCAUGAAAUUAAUAUAAAUAAAUGAAGGUAAGUAAAUAAUGUUAGUGUUCUCCUAAACUCAGAAUAGGUGAUUAAAACUAUCACUGGUCCAGUACAUUAGAGAAUUGUAAACUUUUUAAGGAAUAAAGAUCUAAUUUUUUGUGAACCCUAUUUUUAAAAGUCAGCAAAAGGUAAUAGUUUUAUUUUUCAUUGAGGUAAACUUUAUUGUGACAUAGUUUACACGAAAAAUAAACUUUGGAUCAGGACAGGAACAUUUAUUUUUAACAUUUUGCCUCAUCAAUUCUCAGUAUCACAGUGUAUUUUUUCUAAUGUCAGGUUAUUCUUGGAAAAUUUCGUUUGC